rnacentral:lncRNA from 10 species
UCCAGGUGGAAGCCAUGUUGAGUUCAUCACAGAACUACUAGCCGGGCCUGGCACCAAAUAGGCAUCAGGGAAUGUCAGUGGAACUUGACUGCAGAAUCUGAUGAGGAACUUCCAUCUUCCUGGGCUCUGAGUGUCUUUCUCUAGUUCCACCACCAGAGCUGGUGUCUGUUCUGCCAGGCCCCUUUCCAGGCACCCAUAGCUGAUCCUGGAAAGGUAGGGACAGACCCUGUAGGCCUGGACUCUGUCCUUUGGGAGGAGAAUAUCCUCAGGGGCCUGCAUGAGCCAUCCUGAAAAACUAGUUCUGUGAGUCAAUCCUCAAGUGAGUUCCUGUGGGAAAGGUACCAGAAUCUUAGAGGUGAGGUUGGAAGCAGCUUGUCACCUCUUAGAGGCAAAGAGGGGUGUCUCCUCCGAACGGACCUCACUCUUUAUCUGACCCAGAGUUCCUGGCAUAUCAACUGUGCUAGUACUUUGUCAAGGGUGCUGGCAUGAGCCAAAAGGCCCUGAACUGGAAAUUGCAGACCCUCCUAUUAGACAUGAGUGUGUCAUGUCCAUCAUAAACAAAGAAACAAAAACCCUCUCUUAACGCAGGCUACUUUAGUUGCUGCAUUAUAUUCUGCCUACUGUUUGUAGCUAAAUCUCUUGAAUGACUUGUUCAAACUUGCUAUCUCCACUUCCUCACCUUCUAUUUCAUUCUUAACUCAGGUCCAUUCCUAAAAUAAGGCUGUCCUUCCAGGCCCUCCCAAAUGAUGUCAUCUAGUGUAAUUAACUCCAGGUACUACCAUGAUACUAAUAACCUGCAGUCCCUCUCCUGAGCUCCAAACUCACGUAUUCAGCUGCCUAUUAGACAUCUUGACUCAGCUAACCCACAGACACUUCAAACUCAACAUGUACAGAAUGAACUCAUCAUCUUUCCUUAAAACAGAUCCCAAGUGUUCCCUGUCUUUGUGAAUGCACUGCCAUCCUCAUCCUUGACUCCCCCACUCCCUUUCCUUUGUAUAUAUAAUCAGUCACUAAUACAUCAACCCUAUGUCAUGAAUAUCCCCGAAACACAUACACUUCUCUCCAUCCUCAUGGCUUUUUUGCUGAUCAGGGCCAUCAUCAUCAUUUUUGCCUCAAUGAUGACAAUAACCUCUUAACUGUAUUCUAACA